UCUGUCAUUUCUGAAUUAAGCCAAGCAAGAGUGCAUUCACUCCAGAGCCAGUCCACUGACAACGCAUGCAUCCUAAGCAGUCCCAGAGAGAACCACCAGGGUUCCCAGAAAGGACAGCCAAGAAAUGAAGGCAGGCAGAGCCUCUCCUGACAAACUCCGUUACCUCCACGAAUGUGGCUCGAAGCCCGAACACGUCCCUUUGCAUCGCAGACAAGGCACACCUCUUGCUGACUGUUGCUGGCCCAGGGACAUCUGGAAAAGGAGACAGAAAAGAGGGUGUUUUUCUUCCAAACGUCUUGGACCGGGGAUGCUUGACCUCUCAAGACUUGGCAUACCAGCAAAGCGAUUGUGUGGGGUUCAAAGGGCUCGAUGAAUAAGCCAUCGCUUUACUGUUUACCAGGAACAGAGGAGACCAGCCGGGAAAGUGGUCAUGGGGCGGAACUGCACUCCCUAAGGCAGUUGGCAUAGAAAACCUCACCUCUUGUUCUGGACACCUUGGAUUCUACUAGUUGAAAGACAGUGAUCCUUUCGUACUUAAUAUGUCAAGAUGCGUGGUAUUCCCCAAGUUAGAAGUCAAAUAAAAUGGAGUAGAUGCGUGUCAGACUUGGAACACACAAAACUAGACUGUGACCCAGUCCUAGUGGCUCAUUCAUCCUCGUCUUUCAAUGCUCAGCUCAGAUGUCACCUCCUUGGUAAGUUUUCCUGUGAUCACCUCCCCAAGUACUUAAGCUCUUAAGUACUUCCUCUCUGAUGUCCCU